rnacentral:rRNA from 1 species
UGGUUGUCGUCAUCUUCUGUCGUGAGAUGUUGGGUUAAGUCCCUGCAACCAGCGAAACCCUUAUUGUUAGUUGCCAUCAUUUAGUUGGGCACUCUAGCGAGACUGCCGGUAAUAAACCGGAGGAAGGUGGGGAUGACNUCAAAUCAUCAUGCCCCUUAUGACCUGGGCUACACACGUGCUACAAUGGGUGGUACAACGAGUCGCAAGUCGGUGACGGCAAGCUAAUCUCUUAAAGCCAGUCUCAGUUCGGAUUGUAGGCUGCAACUCGCCUACAUGAAGUCGGAAUCGCUAGUAAUCGCGGAUCAGCACGCCGCGGUGAAUACGUUCCCGGGUCUUGUACACACCGAAA